CACGUAGUUCUCCACCGGGAGGUCAUCUUUCUGGUCAUCAGAACUCCUUGUGUCCUGGUUGUGAGAACACCAAAUAGUAACCACUAAGAGUGCCCUGUGUCCUGGGUGCCGGGUCAGGCACUCUCCCUGGGAUCUCUGACUGGAUCCUUACGUCGAGUCUCUAAGCUCAGGGGACAGCAACACUCACAGGCACAGCCCUCCCUGUUACCCCUGGACCACAUCUCAGUGACCUCAUGAAGAGCCAAGACCAAAGCCCAGAGUCACAGACACCCUGGACUCACAGCCUCACAGUGGUCAGUGCCUGGAGUAGGGGCUUCUAGCCCUCAGGGCAGAGCCUGCUCCUGCCCAGCCAUGGCACCCACUGGGGCAGCCAGGCCUCUCCUUCCUGGGCCCUCCUCACCACUUCUACUCACAUGGCUGCCUGAGGGGUUCAUGUUGGCUCGAGCAGGCUGCGUCUCCACACCGGUGGGUUUCUUCCCCGAAGUGCCCUGCCAG
ensembl:antisense Gm14199 predicted gene 14199